CGGUAGGCCGGCUCGGAUCAGCUGAUGCCUUAGCAACAGAGUUACUAGCCGUUCUAAAAAUAUCUCCUUCCUACCCGAGAAAAUUGGGCGACCGGCACGCUGCAAUCUGGUUCCGUCGAUUCGUCGGUAGUUGACAAUUUUUCAUUUCUCUGUUACUUCAACGGCCAUAUUGACUCUCGUCUAUUGGAAGACUCGUAAUAAAUGUCCACCGCUGUACAAAUGGGAUAAAAAAUAUAUUUAGUGUUGCCGUUAACAAGUUACCGUUCACACCUAUAUCGGAUUGCUUCAACGACUGCUUGAUAAAUCCUGUGCGUAAAUGAAUAAACCUAGUGACCUCUGCUUGAGAAAAAUCAUAAUCCCUUUGUCUACCAACGUCUCAAGGAUACAAGGAUUCUCGAACCCUACGAGCGUGUAUUUCACAAGAAUUUCGACAUUGGCAGCCCAUGACACAACAGUCACGUCGUAACGCGUUGCCGUAAACAGUACUCAGGGAAAAACAGUGUCGCUGAUACGCAUUAAGGCCAAUGCACAUGAAGUCAUUAGUAAAGUCAGUGCCCUGCGUGAAAAAGUCUCGUAAAACAAACUGGACGAGGAGUCGUAGUGAAAGUCACCGCAAGAUUCGCGAUCGAAAACGGCUCCCGUGACCCAUUUGGACAACGUAGUCGUGUCAAGUGGACAAUUUUGUCCUGUUCAAAGUCACGAGAUCCUAGACGAACAAAAGACCAACACCCACGACACCAUCUGGGAUUUGACGCACAUCUUAAAAACAAAUAACAUACGUGUCAACACCUCAGCAUAUGGCAAGUCGUUAAAAACAGCUGUGCCAGUGGGUAAAAGAAGAAAGAAGAGAAAAAAAAAAGGAAAAACACAAGGAAGCACCGUUGAUCACGGACAGAGUCACCAUCGUCCACGACCCAGCAAUGUGCAGGUUUCAGAUUAUUUAGUAUUCCCGUGAUGUUCGAGAAGGUGAAAGAGGAGGGAGUGUUGGGCGAGGUUAGUAUUAGAAGCGCGAGGGGUCAACGCUCGGGAAAACGCCUCUCGUUAUGGCACGGCCACGUAUAUACAAUUAUAGAGCCGGCACUGGGAAGUCCACCCCAACCUCAACUGGGCUCAACCGCCUCAUCUCACUCGAGCGGGUUGCCGAGCGCGAGUUUGUCCACCUCCGUCGUUCCCUCGAUCCUUCAACGUCCGUUACAACAGACGUCGUUCAGCUUCUCCUGGGCUGUACAGAACCGGCAAGGUGCGUCCGCAACGUAUGGCGGAUCCGCAGACUAAUAACCUCUUUCUCUUUGUGCUGAAAGCCGAGUAGCUGGAUGAUGAAAAUUAUCCACUUCUGGCCUUACCUACUGGAGUUCACUGUAUACAGUCAUCUCCGGCGCCUCUCUCAGUGGGCAAACGUAUACGGGAUUGAUUCACCCCCCACCACGCCACCGGCGACCAAUCGUGUCCCAGUAACUGGGUUAAAGGUUAUAAGAACUCUCUAGGAGAUUCAGACGCCUGCUGCACCUUGCUGGUGCAACGUACGUUGCGACACGUAGUGACGUUAUUCACUUCUUUGUAUGGUUUCUCUUGUUUUUUUAAUUUUUUUUUAAUAACAUAACCGAUCGACGCCUCGAUAAAAUUUGGAGACUCUUCAAAACACGUGUGUUGCUCUGUAUUGAAAUAACGAUAAUUAAUACUUUGUAUUCAUUGAUUAUCGAUUAUACAUGUAUGCCGAGAGCCAUGAAUAAUAAAUAGUUGUAGAGGAGCGCCAGACGAUUUCCCUCAGGAUAAUACAGGUUGUUUUACAAUCGACAAGAUACCAGUACCGAAGGUCUGCUUGUUAGAGAGGUUAGGGAUUGGCAAACGUGAGAAUCCUAAGCACACACGGUGCACGUAAGAAUAUAUAUUUACCUCUAUGGCAGAGUAAUGGCAUGUUGGGUAUACUCGUGCAGCGUGAAAGACCGGAAAAGAAAGUUGCACAAUUGAAAAUCGAGUAAUGGACACUGGCUGUAAACGCUAACGUGCUGAUCAUUGUGAUUCAUUACGAUUACCGCCAAUCGCAAGAGGGGCAUGACACACAUGCUCACUGACCCAGCAGUGACUCAUUUCAGAUAGAGAGUGGUCUGCGUGCACUUAUAUCUUAGAAUUUUAUACGUUCAUUUUUAUCUAUCGUAAAUAUAAUAUUGCCAUACGUCACUUGUAAUCUUAAUCGAUUUGUAAUACCUUAAGAAGGUGACUGAAGGAGACGAGUAUUACAUAUCGGGGGCGUAGCUCAGAUGGUAGAGCGCUCGCUUAGCAUGCGAGAGGUACCGGGAUCGAUACCCGGCGCCUCCAAAAUUUUUUUUUUUAAUUCAAAAUCAAAAUACCUUCCAUUUAUUUUUCCACGGAUAAUCCGUAGUCG